AUAAUGAUGCAAGAUACAGAAACAGAUCACUCCCUCUCUCUCUAAGCUCUUGGAAGAUGGAAGAAUGAAAUGGAAGUGAUGAAAGAAAAGGGUCCCUAUCUAUAAAAAAUUAGGUCAGUUGGAUUUGCGCCAAGUGGUGAAAUCCAGUGAGGAAAGAGAAAGUUGAGUUGAAGAUGAGUGAUUUUACAUGACGUGACGGCAGUACAAAAAAUAGAGGAAGA
rnacentral:lncRNA from 1 species